UACGUAGGGUGCAAGCGUUGUCCGGAAUUACUGGGCGUAAAGCGUGCGCAGGCGGUUUUGUAAGUCAGGUGUGAAAUCCCCGGGCUUAACCUGGGAACUGCGUUUGAAACUACAAGGCUAGAGUGUGGCAGAGGGGGGUGGAAUUCCACGUGUAGCAGUGAAAUGCGUAGAGAUGUGGAGGAACACCGAUGGCGAAGGCAGCCCCCUGGGUUAACACUGACGCUCAGGCACGAAAGCGUGGGGAGCAAACAGG
rnacentral:rRNA from 1 species